UUUUAGGGUUUGGUUCUGGCUCAGGACGAACGCUGGCGGCGUGCUUAACACAUGCAAGUCGAACGAUGAAGCCCUUCGGGGUGGAUUAGUGGCGAACGGGUGAGUAACACGUGGGCAAUCUGCCCUUCACUCUGGGACAAGCCCUGGAAACGGGGUCUAAUACCGGAUACCACUCCUGCCUGCAUGGGCGGGGGUUGAAAGCUCCGGCGGUGAAGGAUGAGCCCGCGGCCUAUCAGCUUGUUGGUGGGGUAAUGGCCCACCAAGGCGACGACGGGUAGCCGGCCUGAGAGGGCGACCGGCCACACUGGGACUGAGACACGGCCCAGACUCCUACGGGAGGCAGCAGUGGGGAAUAUUGCACAAUGGGCGAAAGCCUGAUGCAGCGACGCCGCGUGAGGGAUGACGGCCUUCGGGUUGUAAACCUCUUUCAGCAGGGAAGAAGCGAAAGUGACGGUACCUGCAGAAGAAGCGCCGGCUAACUACGUGCCAGCAGCCGCGGUAAUACGUAGGGCGCAAGCGUUGUCCGGAAUUAUUGGGCGUAAAGAGCUCGUAGGCGGCUUGUCACGUCGGAUGUGAAAGCCCGAGGCUUAACCUCGGGUCUGCAUUCGAUACGGGCUAGCUAGAGUGUGGUAGGGGAGAUCGGAAUUCCUGGUGUAGCGGUGAAAUGCGCAGAUAUCAGGAGGAACACCGGUGGCGAAGGCGGAUCUCUGGGCCAUUACUGACGCUGAGGAGCGAAAGCGUGGGGAGCGAACAGGAUUAGAUACCCUGGUAGUCCACGCCGUAAACGUUGGGAACUAGGUGUUGGCGACAUUCCACGUCGUCGGUGCCGCAGCUAACGCAUUAAGUACCCCGCCUGGGAGAGCCACGCGGCCCCCC
rnacentral:rRNA from 1 species